ACUACUGAAACUGUUGAUACUCUAAUUGAAAUUAGAUUAAUCUUUUAUCUUUAUUUGCUCUUUUCUCCUCUCCUUUAGUCUUUGCCCUCCCAGUCCACUCCAACUUACUCCUGCAUGUUGCCUCCUUCUCCUUCUGCCCUCCCCCCUCUUUCCCGUAAAUUUGACUCCUCAUCUUACACCUCUCCCCACCUCCCGCCCCCACCCACGGCCAGCGCAAACACAGGAUUCUUUCCCGGUGUUUCCGCAGCAGGGCCGACUGCAGUUCAAGGCGGCGAGCAGGAGCUGGGACAAGGUCUGGGUCAGUACUGGACGCGACUGCAGUAAAAACACACCUUAUCAUUAUCAGACAAAACCAGCAGAGCUUCAAUCAGCAACUUUGAGCAAAUUAUUAAACAAAAAAUGUGUCAGGAAACCCUACUUGUUUAGAUUAUGUACACAUCAGUGAAGAAGUCUAUGUAAGCCAUAAUCCUGUGAAAAAAACAACAACUCACAAACCUGCACAGACAGAUAAGAAAAUGGACUCCAGCAUUUUUGAUCUGCACAGUUAUAGUGCAGUUCCUAGUCAGCACCAUGCCAGACAAUAGCACAAACUAGUCUGGUUAACGUUCUCAGCUAUUGGAGAAUAGUAAAAAAUUAGCUGCAUGAGGCCAACACCUUGCCUCAUGUUGAUG